GCCGGGCGUGGUGGCUCACGCCUGUAAUCCCAGCACUUUGGGAGGCUGAGGUGGGUGGAUCACCUGAGGUCAGGAGUUCGAGACCAGUCUGGCCAACAUGGUGAAACCCCAUCUCUA
rfam:Gorilla gorilla gorilla genomic chromosome, chr20, whole genome shotgun sequence